rnacentral:lncRNA from 1 species
AAAAUUUCUGCUGAGGAGAAUCUGAAUGUUGAGCCGGAUGCAUUAGAUUUAAUUGCUCUGAACGCUGAUGGUUCUCUUCGAGAUGCUGAAACUAUGUUAGACCAGCUCAGUUUGCUUGGAAAAAGAAUCACUUCAUCUCUUGUAAAUGAACUUGUGAGUUUUAUCGACAAUGCUUUGUUGGCAUGGUUUGAUUCGGAUUUAGUUAUUAACACUACCAUAAUUUCAUGAAUGGGAAUAUGAUCAAUUAACAAAAAAACUAUUCUGUAAAGAAAAGCUAAACCAUCUCAAGUGCAUGUGAGUUUCAUAUUUUUCUGAUCCUUUAGUUGUACAUAUAAUUAGUUCAACUUACAUAUGCAAUUUGCUGACUUCUCUGCAGGUGGGGGUUGUUUCUGAAGAGAAAUUACUGGAACUUUUAGAAUUAGCGAUGUCAUCAGACACUGCAGAAACGGUGAAAAGAGCCAGGGAGUUGAUGGAUUCUGGGGUUGAUCCAAUGGUUUU